rnacentral:rRNA from 1 species
CCCGCUGAACUUAAGCAUAUCAAUAAGCGGAGGAAAAGAAACUAACAAGGAUUCCCCUAGUAACUGCGAGUGAAGCGGGAAAAGCUCAAAUUUAAAAUCUGGGGGUCCCUGUGGCCCUCCGAGUUGUAAUCUAGAGAAGUGCUAUCCGCGCUGGACCGUGUACAAGCCUCCUGGAACGGAGCGUCAUAGAGGGUGAGAAUCCCGUCUUUGACACGGACUACCAGGGCUUAUGUGAUGUGCUCUCAAAGAGUCGAGUUGUUUGGGAAUGCAGCUCUAAAUGGGUGGUAAAUUCCAUCUAAAGCUAAAUAUUGGCGAGAGACCGAUAGCGAACAAGUACCGUGAGGGAAAGAUGAAAAGAACUUUGGAAAGAGAGUUAAACAGUACGUGAAAUUGUUGAAAGGGAAACGCUUGAAGUCAGUCGCGUUGCCCAGAAAUCAACCUUGCUUUUGCUUGGUGUACUUUCUGGUUAACGGGUCAGCAUCAAUUUUGACCGGUGGAUAAAGGUCAGGGGAAUGUGGCAUCUUCGGAUGUGUUAUAGCCCUUGGUUGCAUACAUCGAUUGGGAUUGAGGAACUCAGCAUGCCCGCAAGGCCGGGUUUUUAACCACGUACAUGCUUAGGAUGCUGGCAUAAUGGCUUUAAUCGACCCGUCUUGAAACACGG